AGUGGCCGACAGAGGGCGCCGAGAUUCGGGAGCCGGGGUGGGGCGGCCCCGGGCCUCCGUCUGCUCCUCCCACCCCCGCCGCGGCACCCACGCCCACUCGGCGGCGGGGGCCGGGUCUUGGGAAAGUCCCAGGGCGCACCUCGUGCCGGAAAUUUUUCUCACGCACCUGGAGUCGCAGAAUGCCCGGGCUGCAAGUGAUGUCAGGGGGGGCCUAACCUGCCAAAGCUCACACUCUGGAGAAGAUCUCUCAGUGUGACCUGGCCACGUAGCUCGGAUGGCCUGUUUGUCAACGUAAAUGAAGGGUUAGCUCAUCAACAAGCCCUGCCCACUGCCCACAAAUACACUAUCCUGAGCCCUCUUCUGAAAUCAUCACUCUUUACAGGUAUUGCAUCCAAAGUAGGUUUCUCUCCCAUUACAGCAGACAUCAAACAAAAAAUACGCCUACUCAAUGUGAAGACGAUGAGAAUGAAGCCCUUUAUGAUGAUCCACUUCCACUUGAUGAGUAGAAAAUACAAUUACUGGCCUAAUUGCAGAAAUUUCACUUGGAAAAAAUUGAUCUGGGUCAGCAGGAGCUGUUUCUGCCUCGUCUUCAAGUCUUGUUUCCUGCACAUAGACACCAUAAUUAUAGGCGAAUUCAGCUGAGUUGAUGUAACAAGCAAGUAGAUGCCACAAAACUGGCAAGAUAAAAGGAAAACCAAGAAAAUUGAAGAUGACUACUUUGUAUUCCACUUUUCCUAAGACUGGGAACUUCAGAAAUCCGCAAACUAAAAGUGUAGGCUACCUAAACUUAAGUUAAAGAAGCAAAAGGGGAUGAAAAUGUAUAUUCUCAUGGAUACAUAAAAAUGUCACUAUUUUCUGGUUUAAACUUAAAUAAAUUUGUGCAUUGAAUUAGGUAUGAUGCAAUCUAGAAUUUUUCAUUUUUAUUUUCAUUUCUGUGUCUCUUAAGAAGAGACUUUUUUUUUUUUAGACGGAGUCUUGCUUUAUCAUCCAGGCUGGAGUGCAAUGGCGCCAUCUCGGCUCACUGCAACCUCUGCCUCCCAGGUUCAAGCGAUUCUCCUGCCUUAGCCUCCCAAGUAGCUGGGACUACAGGCAUGCGCCACCACACUCAGCUAAUUUUUGUAUUUUUAGUAGAUACGGGAUUUCACCAUGUUGACCAGGAUGGUCUUGAUCUAUUGACCUCGUUAUCCACCCGCCUCAGCCUCCCAAAGUGCUGAGAUUACAGGCGUGAGCCACCGUGCCCAGCGAAGCACAGACUUUCAAUUUGUACAAUGCAUUUUAUUUGGAUGUUUAUUUAAUCUUCAUAGUUAGGUAAUCUAAAAUCUAGAGUGUUCCAAGCAAAAUCCUGGCAUGUGUGCGCUAGGAUACAUGUGCAGAAAUCGUCAUGGUAGGGUUGGGUGCGGUGGCUCACCCCUGUAAUCCCAGCAAACAAACAAAACAAAACCAGUCAUGAGUCAUGGUUGCAUUAUUUCUAGGUGCUCCAAACUGGAAAUAGCUUAACUGUCCAUCAACAGAAGAAAGGAUCAAUAAAUU
ensembl:lncRNA